CUGAUUGUCCACUUUUCUUACAGAUCUUUCCGCUACAGUAAUGUACAAGAUCACCAAGGACAUGUGUGGGUUGAAUGCUGUCAACCAACCUUGAUGAUGUGGAAGUAACGUGCUUCGAGACUGGUCUGGGACUUAUUUAGAGUUCUUUGACAUUGAUUUAUAGUAGAAAUAUUCUCAUAUUCUAUUAACAAAUUAGUCUGAACAAUUAUACCCAAUUAUACCAAUUUGCUUAAAUCAGGGACUGUAUUUUAUCAUCGAAGAUGUUAAAGUUAUCCUGAAAGUACUGUGAGUUUUUGAAUGAUUUGAAAGAAAACUUUGUGAAGCAUUAGAAAAAGUGUAGUUAGUGUAGUCGCAAAGUAGAAUUAAAGUUUUAGCCUUGG